AUUUCAUUUCUCAAUCUGCAAUUGCAAUUUUUUAGUAAGAUUGACGAAGACAAACACAAACUACCAAAACAAGAAACUACUACGAACUAAUAAAUGAAGAAGACUUCAAAUUCCAAGUCAAUCGAAUUCUUUUUUCAGAUAGAGAGAAAUGGAAUUGGAAUGGGAGAGGGACUCUACCAGGAUAGGAUCGAGCGAGGAUGAGGAUGUCGAGGAUUUGAACGAUGUGCCUUUUAAGGAGAAGACGGACAAUGCCGCCGAUUGGAGAGAGACGAUCAACAAGGUGGUUCCUGCGGUGGUUGUGCUACGUACCACUGCCUGUCGCGCCUUUGACACCGAACUUCCUUCAUCCGGCUAUGCCACAGGAUUCGUUGUCGAUAAGCUACGUGGCAUCAUCCUCACCAAUCGCCAUGUCGUCAAGCCUGGCCCUGUAGUUGCACAAGCGAUAUUUGUAAACCAUGAAGAAAUUCCUGUAUAUCCUAUAUACAGAGAUCCAGUCCAUGAUUUCGGCUUCUAUCAUUAUGAUCCUGGUGCAAUACAAUUUCUGAACUAUGAGGAGAUUCCUCUUGCUCCUGAGGCUGCUUGUGUUGGACUCGAUAUCCGAGUUGUUGGUAAUGAUAGCUGUGAGAAGGUAUCCAUUUUGGCUGGUACCAUUGCUCGUUUGGAUCGGGAUGCUCCUACAUAUAGAAAGGAUGGUUAUAACGACUUCAAUACAUUUUACAUUCAAGCAGCAUCCGGAACUAAGGGUGGUUCUAGCGGUUCACCAGUUAUUGAUCGACAAGGUAGGGCAGUGGCCCUAAAUGCUGGGGGCAGGGUAUCAACUUCAUCAGCAUUCUUUUUACCUUUAGUGCGAGUUGUUAGGGCAUUGAGACUUAUUCAAAACAGCAGAGAUUCUAAUACAGGUAAAGGGGAGGCAGCUCUAAUACCACGUGGUACACUUCAGGUGACAUUUCACUAUAAAGGAUUUGAUGAAGUUCGGCGUCUUGGUCUUCAACGUGAAACAGAGCAGAUGGUACGCUGUGCUUCUCUACCAGGAGAAACUGGAAUGCUUGUUGUUCACUCUGUGGUUCCAGGUGGUCCGGCUCAUCUGCAGUUACAGCCAGGGGAUGUGCUAGUACGUGUGAAUGGGGAAAUAACCACUCAAUUUUUGAAACUGGAGACAUUGCUUGAUGAUAAUGUCGAUCAAAAGAUUGAAAUACAAAUUGAAAGGGGUGGCACAUCCUUGACCAUAAACAUAGUGGUUCAAAAUUUACACUCUAUAACUCCUAAUCACUUCUUGGAAGUUAGUGGAGCAGUGAUUCAUCCAUUGUCUUAUCAACAGGCCAGAAACUUCCGCUUCCAUUGUGGUCUUGUAUAUGUUUCAAAUCCUGGAUAUAUGCUAUCUAGAGCUGGUGUUCCUCGCCAUGCCAUCAUUAAGAAGUUUUCUGAUGCAGAGAUAUCACGACUUGAAGAGCUAAUCUCAGUUUUGCCAAACCUGUCUCCGGGUGCUCAAGUGCCAAUAGAGUAUAUAACCCACAAGGAUCGUCAUAGAAGCAAGUUUGCGCUGGUCACAACUGAUUGCCAUCAAUGGUAUGAUACUCCAAAGAUAUACACUCGUGAUGAUAGUUUCGGUUUGUGGAUAGCAAGACCUGCUAUUCAGCCUGAAGCUCUGUUGCUUUCAUCUUGUAUUGCCAAUCCCGGACAAGGUUUAAAAGAAGAAACAUUUGCAUUUAGUUGUGAAUCCAAUCUUGUGGAAGACAUGCCUCAAAAUAACAACUUGGAGUUGACUGACAAUAUGGGAACUUGUCAUGAUCAUGCUUCUAAGGAAGUUGGUUCCAGAGAUGAAUGUGAUGUUGCAAUAAAUACACAAGUACUAGGAGAUUUGUCCAUAAAUAACAUUGUUGUUCCCAACAGUUCCUCACAUGAAGCUGGAGAAAUUAAGUUGGAGAAUCCAGUAAUCACGGAAAAUGCAAAUUCAAAUCACCCUGAGUUUGCAACAGAAGCUGAAGCUAAGGCUCCAUCUCCAGACCGUGUGAUUGAACCUGCUCUUGUACUGGUUGAGGUUAAUGUGCCUUCAUCGUGUUUGCUUGAUGGUGUCAGUUCACAAAAUUUUUUUGGAACUGGUGUCAUUGUGCAUCACUCUCAAGGAAUGGGAUUGGUUGCAGUUGACCAGAACACAGUUGCAAUAUCUGCAUCUGAUGUGAUGUUAUCCUUUGCUGCAUUUCCUAUUGAAAUUCCGGGACAGGUGGUUUUUCUUCAUCCCGUUUACAAUUUCGCUCUUGUUGCCUAUAACCCGUCUGCUCUAGGAGCUGUGGGCGCUUCAAUGGUUUGUGCUGCGGAACUUCUUCCUGAGCCUCCUUUAUGUAGUGGAGAUCCAGUAUAUCUUGUGGGGUUGAGAAAUCUACAAGCAAUAUCAAGGAAAUCUACUGUAACAAAUGCAUGUCUCUCAUUGCAUGUUCCCAAAGCUGAUCCUCCUUGUAACAGAGCAAUCAAUAUGGAGGUUAUUGAGCUUGAUUCUGAUUUUGGUUAUAUGUUUACGGGAGUUCUAAGCAAUAAGCGUGGAAAAGUUCAAGCUCUGUGGGCAAGCUUUUCAGCUAAGAAAAAAUCUGGUAGCAGUGCAUCAAAAGAUCCUCAAUUUGUUAAAGGGAUUCCAAUCUAUAUGAUCAGCCAAGUAGUUGACAAGAUCACAUCUGGUGCAAAUGGACCAUCUGUUCUAAUAAAUGGUGUCAAAAGGCCGAUGCCACUUGUUAGGAUUUUAGAGGUUGAAUUUGUUACUAGAUUGCUUUCAAAGGCUCGGAGUUUUGGUUUGAGUGAUGAUUGGAUUCAAGCUUUGAUCAAGAAAGAUCCAAUAAGGCGACAAGUAUUACGUGUUAAAGGGUGUUUGGCUGGAUCUAAAGCUGAAAAUGUAUUAAAAGAAGGUGACAUGGUGCUGGCAGUGAAUAAAGAGCCUGUCACUUGUUUCCGUGAUAUAGAAAAUGCUUGCAAAGCAUUAGAGAACAAUGCUGACAAGGGUGGGAAACUUAACAUGACCAUAUUUCAACGAGGACGUGCAGUUGAUAUUGUUGUAGAAACAGAUAUUAGAGAUGGAAAUGGCACGACACGUAUGAUAAAUUGGUGUGGUUGUAUUGUUCAAUAUCCUCAUCUUGCAGUGCGUGCGCUUGGGUUUCUUCCUGAGGAAGGGCAUGGUGUAUAUGUUACAAAGUAUUAUCGUGGAAGUCCUGCAGACAGAUAUGGUCUAUGUGGUCUUCGAUGGAUAGUUGAAGUCAAUGGAAAACCGACUCCUGAUUUGGAUGCCUUUGCUAAUGUGACAAAGGAAUUAGGAAGUGAGGAAUUUGUUCGAAUAAGAACUAUCAACUUGGAUGGAAAGCCACAAGUGCUAACAUUGAAGCAAGACUUGCAUUAUUGGCCCACGUGGGAACUGAGAUUUGAUCCGGACACUGCAAUCUGGCGUAGAGAGACAAUCAAGGCAUUGCAGUAAAGUGCUUGUGUAUCCUUUGAAGAGUGAGAUUGUGAUUGGACCAUCAAAAGUCUAUUUCAUAUUGUCAAAUUGUACAUAACAAACAUAUAUGGCUUCUGCCUCAACAUAUAGCCUCUAAUUUUAAUUUUGGCCGCUCACUAAAUUUACUCCUAGUGCAUUAUAUCUUAGCCAUGGUAAUGUCAAGCUCUCAAAAGCAUCACAAUGUACAUGAAUAAUUCUAAUUGACAACAUUACUCCUGGUGCGAAUGAUUUUAAUACAGAGUAGUGUAAUUUUCCAAUGGAAUGCAAAUGACUGAUUGUAAAAUAACCGCGAGUUUGACUAUAAUUUUAUAUUUAAUUACAAAAGAUUUGUCUUUA